UGACUACAGCCGCGGUAAUACGAAGGGUGCUAGCGUUGUUCGGAAUUAUUGGGCGUAAAGCGUGCGUAGGCGGCUUGAUAAGUCAGUUGUGAAAGCCCAGGGCUUAACCUUGGAAUUGCAGCUGAAACUAUCAGGCUAGAGUAUGAAGAGGGAUAGUGGAAUUCCUAGUGUAGGGGUGAAAUCCGUAGAUAUUAGGAGGAACACCGGUGGCGAAAGCGACUAUCUAUGUCAUUACUGACGCUGUUGCACGAAAGCGUGGGGAGCAAACAGGAUUAGAUACCCUGGUAGUCCACGCAGUAAACGAUGAGUGCUAGUUAUCGGGUCUUUGGGAUUCGGUGGCGAAGCUAACGCGUUAAGCACUCCGCCUGGGGAGUACGGCCGCAAAGGCUAACACUCACAGGAAUUGACGGGGACCCGAACAAAGCAGUGGAGCAUGUGGUUAAAU
rnacentral:rRNA from 1 species